ACAAUGAAGAGUUUGAUCCUGGCUCAGGAUGAACGCUAGCUACAGGCUUAACACAUGCAAGUCGAGGGGCAUCAGGAAGAAAGCUUGCUUUCUUUGCUGGCGACCGGCGCACGGGUGAGUAACACGUAUCCAACCUGCCCUUUACUCGGGGAUAGCCUUUCGAAAGAAAGAUUAAUACCCGAUGGCAUAAUGAUUCCGCAUGGUUUCAUUAUUAAAGGAUUCCGGUAAAGGAUGGGGAUGCGUUCCAUUAGGUUGUUGGUGAGGUAACGGCUCACCAAGCCUUCGAUGGAUAGGGGUUCUGAGAGGAAGGUCCCCCACAUUGGAACUGAGACACGGUCCAAACUCCUACGGGAGGCAGCAGUGAGGAAUAUUGGUCAAUGGGCGGUAGCCUGAACCAGCCAAGUAGCGUGAAGGAUGAAGGCUCUAUGGGUCGUAAACUUCUUUUAUAUAAGAAUAAAGUGCAGUAUGUAUACUGUUUUGUAUGUAUUAUAUGAAUAAGGAUCGGCUAACUCCGUGCCAGCAGCCGCGGUAAUACGGAGGAUCCGAGCGUUAUCCGGAUUUAUUGGGUUUAAAGGGAGCGUAGGUGGACUGGUAAGUCAGUUGUGAAAGUUUGCGGCUCAACCGUAAAAUUGCAGUUGAUACUGUCAGUCUUGAGUACAGUAGAGGUGGGCGGAAUUCGUGGUGUAGCGGUGAAAUGCUUAGAUAUCACGAAGAACUCCGAUUGCGAAGGCAGCUCACUGGACUGCAACUGACACUGAUGCUCGAAAGUGUGGGUAUCAAACAGGAUUAGAUACCCUGGUAGUCCACACAGUAAACGAUGAAUACUCGCUGUUUGCGAUAUACAGUAAGCGGCCAAGCGAAAGCAUUAAGUAUUCCACCUGGGGAGUACGCCGGCAACGGUGAAACUCAAAGGAAUUGACGGGGGCCCGCACAAGCGGAGGAACAUGUGGUUUAAUUCGAUGAUACGCGAGGAACCUUACCCGGGCUUAAAUUGCAGUGGAAUGAUGUGGAAACAUGUCAGUGAGCAAUCACCGCUGUGAAGGUGCUGCAUGGUUGUCGUCAGCUCGUGCCGUGAGGUGUCGGCUUAAGUGCCAUAACGAGCGCAACCCUUAUCUUCAGUUACUAACAGGUCAUGCUGAGGACUCUGGAGAGACUGCCGUCGUAAGAUGUGAGGAAGGUGGGGAUGACGUCAAAUCAGCACGGCCCUUACGUCCGGGGCUACACACGUGUUACAAUGGGGGUACAGAAGGCAGCUAGCGGGUGACCGUAUGCUAAUCCCAAAAUCCUCUCUCAGUUCGGAUCGAAGUCUGCAACCCGACUUCGUGAAGCUGGAUUCGCUAGUAAUCGCGCAUCAGCCACGGCGCGGUGAAUACGUUCCCGGGCCUUGUACACACCGCCCGUCAAGCCAUGGGAGCCGGGGGUACCUGAAGUACGUAACCGCAAGGAUCGUCCUAGGGUAAAACUGGUGACUGGGGCUAAGUCGUAACAAGGUAGCCGUACCGGAAGGUGCGGCUGGAACACCUCCUUU
rnacentral:rRNA from 1 species